UACGGAGGGUGCAAGCGUUUUUCGGAAUUACUGGGCGUAAAGCGCGUGUAGGCGGCCUUGUAAGUCAGAUGUGAAAGCCCUCGGCUUAACCGGGGAAGUGCAUCUGAAACUGCUUGGCUUGAGUACCGGAGAGGGAGACGGAAUUCCCAGUGUAGAGGUGAAAUUCGUAGAUAUUGGGAGGAACACCGGUGGCGAAAGCGGUCUCCUGGACGGAUACUGACGCUGAGACGCGAAAGCGUGGGUAGCAAACAGG
rnacentral:rRNA from 1 species